rnacentral:tRNA from 1 species
GCCUAGGUGGCUUGGUUGGUUAAGCUUCUGACUUUGGCUCAGGUCAUGAUCUUGCAGCUCAUGGGUUUGAGCCCCGCCUCAGGCU